rnacentral:rRNA from 1 species
AUUGAACGCUGGCGGCCGGCCUAACACAUGCAAGUCGAACGAGUGGCGGACGGGUGAGUAAUGUCUGGGAAACUGCCUGAUGGAGGGGGAUAACUACUGGAAACGGUAGCUAAUACCGCAUACCAUCGGAUGUGCCCAGAUGGGAUUAGCUAGUAGGUGGGGUAAAGGCUCACCUAGGCGACGAUCCCUAGCUGAUCUGAGAGGAUGACCAGCAACACUGGAGCCGGGACACGGGCGAGACUCCUACGGGAGGCAGCAGUGGGGAAUAUUGCACAAUGGGCGCAAGCGUGAUGCAGCCAUGCCGCAUGUAUGAAGAAGGCCUUCGGGUGGUAAAGUACUUUCAGCGGGGAGGCGUUACCCACAGAAGAAGCACCGGCUAACUCCGUGCCAGCAGCCGCGGUAAUUC